CCUACGGGAGGCAGCAGUAGGGAAUCUUUCACAAUGGGCGAAAGCCUGAUGGAGCAACGCCGCGUGCAGGAUGAAGGCCUUCGGGUUGUAAACUGCUUUUAUAAGCGAGCACUCUGAUGGUAACUUAUGAAUAAGGAUCGGCUAAAUACGUGCCAGCAGCCGCGGUCAUACGUAUGAUCCGAGCAUUAUCCGGAGUGGCUGGGUGUAAAGAGUUGCGUAGGUGGCAUAAUAAGUAGCUAGUGAAAUCUGUUGGCUCAACCAUUCAGACUAUUAGCUAAACUGUUAAGCUCGAGACCGUUAGGGGUAACUGGAAUUUCUAGUGUAGGAGUGAAAGCCGUAGAUAUUAGAAGGAACACCAAUAGCGUAGGCAGGUUACUGGGACGGUUCUGACACUAAGGCACGAAAGCGUAGGGAGCAAACGGGAUUAGAUACCCGGGUAGUC
rnacentral:rRNA from 1 species